rnacentral:misc_RNA from 1 species
ACGCAAUGGUGACUUUUUCACCUUCAUAGCCGACGACAUAACCUCACGUGGUAAACAUACCCUUGCCAACAAGUGUACAUAUUCUGUCUUGCUGCUUAGGAAGAAAUUUAUUCUGGGAAAGUGGGAAAACAGGCGACACCAUGGUCCCUGGAUCUUUAGAAGAACAUGAAGCUGAUAUUAUAUUUGUCGUUGAGGGAACUGCAAUCAAUGGAGCCUACCUAAAUGAUCUAAAAGCAAAUUAUAUUGUACCUACAUUACAGUACUUCAGUCAUACCAAACAAGAUGACUGGGAUAAUAUUGAGAGUCAGAGUGUCAUAUAUGGUCUUGUCAUUUAUCAUGCAGCGGAUUGUUUACCUAGUCCAAGUAGCGAUAGUUAUGGUCCAUUCUACAAUCCUAACAAAUUUCUUGCUUCCCUUGAUAGUGUUGAAAUGGUGGGAGGGAAAGGUGAAGCAUAUGCCAAUGUUGCUGAAGGACUGGCCACUGCCAUUCAGUGCUUUGAAGAUCUCAAACUGAAACGUGAUGGAUUGGGGGCUGUCCAAAAGCAUUGUGUUCUUAUAGGGAAUUCCCCACCUUAUCUUUUACCCGCAAUGGAAGCUCCUUCAUUCUGUGGAAAAACUGUAGAUGAACUAGCCUUACUACUUAAAGAAUAUGGUGUCAACCUUUCUAUUCUUUCACCUAGAAAAAUGCCUUCCCUAUUUAAACUAUAUGAAGAAGCUGGAGGAGAUCUGCAGUUAAGCCAAACCAAAAAUUAUGCCAAAGAUCCCCGGCAUUUAGUGUUACUAAAAGGAUAUAGUCUUCAGGAACGCGCAGUCAGUCCAAGUCCGCCAAAUGCUAGUCAGAUGCUCAUUCUCAACCAACCUCACACCCCUUCAGGACAAUCGGGGCAGCAAAGCCAACUGACGCCCCCUCAGUCACAAGCACCAGGCUCAAACCCGGGCUCACUCCAAGGCAUACCGCCAUCACCAGUUGGCAUGGUGAUCCCAUCAAUGUCCAGCCCUCUUCCAAACGUUGGAAGCCCAAUCACAAGCAUUGCAGCCAGUGUCAGCUCUGGAGGGCCUGGAGGCCAGCAGCAGCAAUCGCCCAUCAUGACUGGGGUCAACAUGUUCCGGGGCAACCAACAAACGGCACAGCAACAGCAGCAGGCUCAACAGCAAGCGCAGCAGCAAGCACAACAGCAAGCACAACAGCAAGCACAACAGCAAGCUCAGAAACAAGCUCAGCAACAAGCUCAGCAGCAAGCUCAACAAGCCCAGCAGCAAGCACUGCAACAGCAAGCACAGCAACAAGCACUUCAGCAACAGCAGCAACAACAGCAGCAACAACAAAACACACAGGCUGGUCAACAGAAUGCACAGGGUAUGGUGGGACCAAUGACUGGUCAAAGACCACCGUUUCCACCACAGCCUCCUGGUUAUGGUGCCAUGCCUGGAGGCGCAGGCAUUAACCGACCUCAGUGGCGUUUCCCUGCACAGGCUCGAGCCCAGUUUCAGGGUCAAGGAUUUGCUGGCAAUGGAAAUUCUACUCCACAGCAGAGCUCAGCUCUCAUUGCUCAGCUAACUCAACCACCAACAAGCAUUGGCCCAGGUGUUAAUCAGUCUCAGCUCUCUGCUCAGUUUGCAGCAGGAGCGGGUCAGAUGCGCCUAAAUCAAAUGAUGGCUGCUCAAAGUCAGCUACAAAACCCUGGCCAGGGCACAAUAGGAAUGCAAGGAGCACAAGGAUUAACUCAAACAGUUGGUCCUAGUCCACAGCAGCAACAACAGGCUCAGCAGCAAGCACAGCAGCAGCAACAGCAGCAGCAGGCCCUAGUCCAGAAGCAAUUGCAGCAGCAAGCUCAGAUGGGUCAGCAAGCUCAGCAAGUUCAACAAUCGCAGCAAGGUGGGCAGGGAGAAAGGCACUUUAUUUGGAGUGGUGUCUUAGAAUGGGUCGAAAAGCAAGUUAAAGCACCUGCUCCCAAUCAACCAAAAAUGUCACGACAGGUGGCUUGUCAAGUUUCAAUAGCUGCCAAAGAUCUCCAAGGACUCUCUGCUGAGACCUGGCCGGAGACACUUCUCAUGCAGUUGAUGCCCAAAACAUUGAUUAGUACUAUUGGAGCUCCUUUUCUUAAAAAUUCGAAGUCAGUGUACUUCCAUCCUCAGCCUUGUGACGCUUUAGAUAGUCUAAUACAGUUGCUAUUGACAGGAUAUGUUGGUUGUGUACAUUUUACAAGUGCUAACAAUACUUGUGAAAUCAAAGUCCUCCUGUUGAUCUAUCAAGCUGAAAAAAGAGCAUUUUUUGGAUUCAUUCCAAAUGACCAAACAGGCUUUGUCGACAGAUUACGCAAAUUGAUUCAGCAAACAAAGCAAGGAAGGGGUCAGCUAAAUGCUCAACGAGCCCAGCAAAUGCAGCUACAAGCACAGCAACAGGCUCAACAGCAAGCGCAACAGCAAGCACAACAGCAAGGAAUGAUGAUUUCACAGACAAAUCAAAUGGCUGUGGUUGGUGGCCAGAUCACACAGAAUGUUGUUGCAGCUGGUGGAGUGAAUGGUCCACAAACGCAACCAAUGGGACAGCAAGUCACAAACAAUAUGGCCGGUGUAGGGGCUUCUGGUCCUAUGUCAACUCAAAACCCUCUAGGAAUUCAAGGUGUUGAUGGAAGCAUGGGUUUACGCAUGCCUGGCCCUAGUACUGGAGGACCCAACAUGCAGGUAACUGGGCAAGGAAAUAUGAUGGCUCGAGGUGGUUUAGGUGCUAUGCAGAGAUCUAUGAACCCUCAAAUGCAAGCUCAAGGGCAAAGUAACGAUAUGCAACAACUGAAACAAUUUGAGCUUAUUAACUUCAAGUUUCAGCAGCAGAAAAUGCAAUCAAAUAUGGACAUGAACCAACAAGUUUUUGAUAAUGAUCAAGGAAAGUUAAGAGCUCAGCUACAACUGCAACAAUUGCAGCAAAAACAACAAGCCAUGCAACAACAGCAGCAAUUGCAGCAAAAACAACAAGCCAUGCAACAACAGCAGCAAUUGCAGCAGCUGCAACAGCAACAAAUGCAGCAGCAACAGUCAUUGCAGCAGCCUCAAAUGCCUAACCAACAAAGAAUGGUGCGCCCUAAUAAUAAUCCUGGUUUGCGAACACUUUUGCAGCAGCAUCCUCAAAGACCAUUAGUCAUGAUGCAAGGCGUGAGAAAUCCUAAUCUACAGAAUGCAAACAUGCAGCACCAAUUUGAGGAAUAUGACCAUAGACUAGAUUUCUAAUUUCUGAUGACUGAAUCUGCAUUGCUUCUUUUGAACCAUGUUGAUUCAAAAUGUUACCUAGCACCUAAAUUGACCUUGUGAUGCAUCAAUGAAUUAUGGAACAAACACUGUUAUCUGAAUGUAAAUUUAUAUCUUGUGGAGUGUGGUAACUUACUGUGAUAUAUUUGUAUCCAAAACGUUUUAUGAGCUUGUGAAUUUAUUAAGCAGUUUCAUGAAUACAGUAGUUGGAGGGACCACAUGAACUGGGAAGAUCUGAAGAAUGUGAACUUUUCAUUUGUAAGAUGUUCCUCACGUUUCUUCACCUUGUACCUGAGAAUUCAGAACCACAUUUUGUUUUCAUCGACAGAGGUAUAUAAAAAUUUAUAUGUUGUGAUUUUUGACAACCAGAUAUUUAUUUCUAUGCAAUGUGAUCAAUGAGCUUAGAAACUCAGAAACUUAUCAAUGUUAUUUAUGAGCUUCUAAAUAUAAAGCAAAAGACUAAAACAAGCUUUCAUUUUGAUAACUAUGAUUUACAUACAUUAAGACCUCAGAUAAUACUUCUUUUUCCUUAGAAACGAAGAUUCAUACUUAGAUCCUUCCCAAAGAACACGAAACGCUCACCGUGACGUCAUUUUGAUGUAAAUUUAACGAAUUUUAGUCAAAAUUUCUACAUAAAAAGCAUAAUUUUGACGUCAUUUUUACUUCGUUUGACUGCUUUAUGAGUGUUUCGUGUUCUUUGGGUUGUAAAUGUUGAAUGUCCACUGUUUAUUAUACGUUGUUAAGAUCAGAUUUACGAAUUGUUAUUGACUGUGUUUUUAUUUUGUGCAGUAGAUAUUUCAUAUAAUUUACAAAUGUUAAAGAAUUUUUCUUUUUUCUUUGUUACUGAGACUUGUCACAGAAUAAAUAAAAUCAGAAUAAAA